rnacentral:tRNA from 1 species
UCACGGGUUCAAAUCCGGUCUCCCCAA